rnacentral:rRNA from 1 species
CCUACGGGUGGCAGCAGUGGGGAAUAUUGGGCAAUGGGCGCAAGCCUGACCCAGCAACGCAGCGUGAAGGAAGAAGGCUUUCGGGGUGUAAACUUCUUUUAAGAGGGAAGAGCAGAAGACGGUACCUCUUGAAUAAGCCACGGCUAACUACGUGCCAGCAGCCGCGGUAAUACGUAGGUGGCAAGCGUUGUCCGGAUUUACUGGGUGUUACGGGCGUGUAGCCGGGCUGACAAGUCAGAUGUGAAAUUCCGGGGCUCAACCCCGGACCUGCAUUUGAAACUGUUGGUCUUGAGUAUCGGAGAGGCAGGCGGAAUUCCUGGUGUAGCGGUGAAAUGCGUAGAUAUUAGGAGGAACACCAGUGGCGAAGGCGGCCUGCUGGACGACAACUGACGGUGAGGCGCGAAGGCGUGGGGAGCAAACAGGAUUAGAUACCCUGGUAGUC